rnacentral:rRNA from 1 species
CCUACGGGAGGCAGCAGUGGGGAAUAUUGGACAAUGGGGGGAACCCUGAUCCAGCCAUGCCGCGUGUGUGAAGAAGGCCCUCGGGGUGUAAAGCACUUUCAGUGAGGAAGAACGCCUGGUGGUUAAUACCCAUCAGGAAAGACAUCACUCACAGAAGAAGGACCGGCUAACUCCGUGCCAGCAGCCGCGGUAAUACGGAGGGUGCGAGCGUUAAUCGGAAUUACUGGGCGUAAAGCGCGCGUAGGUGGCUUGAUAAGCCGGUUGUGAAAGCCCCGGGCUCAACCUGGGAACGGCAUCCGGAACUGUCAAGCUAGAGUGCAGGAGAGGAAGGUAGAAUUCCCGGUGUAGCGGUGAAAUGCGUAGAGAUCGGGAGGAAUACCAGUGGCGAAGGCGGCCUUCUGGACUGACACUGACACUGAGGUGCGAAAGCGUGGGUAGCAAACAGGAUUAGAUACCCCUGUAGUC